rnacentral:tRNA from 1 species
GGUGCGGCUCAGCGGUAGAGCGCUCAUCUAGCAUAUGCAAGGCCCUGGGUUCGAUCCUCGGAACCA